rnacentral:rRNA from 1 species
AACGAACGCUGGCGGCAUGCCCAACACAUGCAAGUCGAACGCGUGUAGCGAUACGCGAGUGGCGGACGGGUGAGUAACGCGUGGGAACCUGCCCAAUGGUAGGGAAUAACUGCGGGAAACUGCAGCUAAUACCCUAUGCUCCCUACGGGGGAAAGAUUCAUCGCCAUUGGAGGGGCCCGGCGUCGGAUUAGCUAGUUGGCGGGGUAAGUGGCCCACCCAAGGCUACGAUCCGUAGCUGGCUGAGAGGAUGAUCAGCCACACUGGGACUGAGAUACGGCCCAGACUCCUACGGGAGGCAGCAGUGGGGAAGUAUUGGACAAUGGGGGAAACCCGUGAUCCAGCAAUGCCGCGUGAGUGAAGGAGGCCUUAGGGUUGUAAAGCUCUUUCGGCGGGGACGAUGGUGACGGUACCCGCAGAAGAAGCCCCGGCUAACUUCGU